CACGUAGGGGGCAAGCGUUGUCCGGAUUUAUUGGGCGUAAAGAGCUCGUAGGCGGCUUGUUGCGUCGACUGUGAAAACCCGCGGCUUAACUGCGGGCUUGCAGUUGAUACGGGCAGGCUAGAGUUCGGUAGGGGAGACUGGAAUUCCUGGUGUAGCGGUGAAAUGCGCAGAUAUCAGGAGGAACACCGGUGGCGAAGGCGGGUCUCUGGGCCGAUACUGACGCUGAGGAGCGAAAGCGUGGGGAGCGAACAGG
rnacentral:rRNA from 1 species